rnacentral:rRNA from 1 species
GAUAAACGCUGGCGGCGUGCUUAACACAUGCAAGUCGAACGAAGUUUUUCCUUCGGGCGAAACUUAGUGGCGGACGGGUGAGUAACGCGUGGGUAACCUGCCCUGUACAGGGGGACAACAGCUGGAAACGGCUGCUAAUACCGCAUAAGCCCUUAGCACUGCAUGGUGCAUAGGGAAAAGGAGCAAUCCGGUACAGGAUGGACCCGCGUCUGAUUAGCCAGUUGGCAGGGUAACGGCCUACCAAAGCGACGAUCAGUAGCCGAUCUGAGAGGAUGUACGGCCACAGUUGGACUGAGACACGGCCCAGACUCCUACGGGAGGCAGCAGUGGGGAAUAUUGCACAAUGGAGGAAACUCUGAUGCAGCGACGCCGCGUGAGUGAAGAAGUAUUUCGGGAUGUAAAGCUCUAUCAGCAGGGAAGAAAAUGACGGUACCUGACUAAGAAGCACCGGCUAAAUACGUG